UAACAUCCGGAAACGGGUGCUAAUACCGCAUAGUUUUCUUGGAUCGCAUGAUCGGGAAAGGAAAGACGGCCUUUGUGCUGUCGCUUAUGGGAUGGACCCGCGGCGUAGUUAGUUAGUUGGUGAGGUAACGGCUCACCAAGACGAUGAUACGUAGCCGACCUGAGAGGGUGAUCGGCCACAUUGGGACUGAGACACGGCCCAAACUCCUACGGGAGGCAGCAGUAGGGAAUCUUCCGCAAUGGACGAAAGUCUGACGGAGCAACGCCGCGUGAGUAGAAGAAGGUUUUCGGAUCGUAAAACUCUUGUUGUCAGAGUAAGAACAAGUUGGAGAGUUAACUGCUCCAGCCUUGACGGUACCUGACCAGAAAGCCACGGCUAACUACGUGCCAGCCGCGGC
rnacentral:rRNA from 1 species